UCGCCUGUAGCUCAACGCCAGAGCACGCGGUUCUUACCCGCGGAGAUGUGGGUGCAAUCCCCACCGGGCGGACCA
rnacentral:tRNA from 1 species